GGGUUGUGAGGUUAAGCGACUAAGCGUACACGGUGGAUGCCCUGGCAGUCAGAGGCGAUGAAGGACGUGCUAAUCUGCGAAAAGCGUCGGUAAGGUGAUAUGAACCGUUAUAACCGGCGAUGUCCGAAUGGGGAAACCCAGUGCAAUUCGUUGCACUAUCGUUAACUGAAUACAUAGGUUAACGAGGCGAACCGGGGGAACUGAAACAUCUAAGUACCCCGAGGAAAAGAAAUCAACCGAGAUUCCCCCAGUAGCGGCGAGCGAACGGGGAGCAGCCCAGAGUCUGAAUCAGCUUGUGUGUUAGUGGAACGGUCUGGAAAGUCCGACGGUACAGGGUGAUAGUCCCGUACACCAAAAUGCACAGGCUGUGAACUCGAAGAGUAGGGCGGGACACGUGGUAUCCUGUCUGAAUAUGGGGGGACCAUCCUCCAAGGCUAAAUACUCCUGACUGACCGAUAGUGAACCAGUACCGUGAGGGAAAGGCGAAAAGAACCCCGGCGAGGGGAGUGAAAAAGAACCUGAAACCGUGUACGUACAAGCAGUGGGAGCACCUUCGGGUGUGACUGCGUACCUUUUGUAUAAUGGGUCAGCGACUUAUAUUCUGUAGCAAGGUUAACCGUAUAGGGGAGCCGCAGGGAAACCGAGUCUUAACUGGGCGUUAAGUUGCAGGGUAUAGACCCGAAACCCGGUGAUCUAGCCAUGGGCAGGUUGAAGGUUGGGUAACACUAACUGGAGGACCGAACCGACUAAUGUUGAAAAAUUAGCGGAUGACUUGUGGCUGGGGGUGAAAGGCCAAUCAAACCGGGAGAUAGCUGGUUCUCCCCGAAAGCUAUUUAGGUAGCGCCUCGUGAACUCAUCUUCGGGGGUAGAGCACUGUUUCGGCUAGGGGGUCAUCCCGACUUACCAACCCGAUGCAAACUACGAAUACCGAAGAAUGUUAUCACGGGAGACACACGGCGGGUGCUAACGUCCGUCGUGAAGAGGGAAACAACCCAGACCGCCAGCUAAGGUCCCAAAGUCAUGGUUAAGUGGGAAACGAUGUGGGAAGGCACAGACAGCCAGGAUGUUGGCUUAGAAGCAGCCAUCAUUUAAAGAAAGCGUAAUAGCUCACUGGUCGAGUCGGCCUGCGCGGAAGAUGUAACGGGGCUAAACCAUGCACCGAAGCUGCGGCAGCGACACUAUGUGUUGUUGGGUAGGGGAGCGUUCUGUAAGCCUGCGAAGGUGACCUGUGAAGGUUGCUGGAGGUAUCAGAAGUGCGAAUGCUGACAUAAGUAACGAUAAAGCGGGUGAAAAGCCCGCUCGCCGGAAGACCAAGGGUUCCUGUCCAACGUUAAUCGGGGCAGGGUGAGUCGACCCCUAAGGCGAGGCCGAAAGGCGUAGUCGAUGGGAAACAGGUUAAUAUUCCUGUACUUGGUGUUACUGCGAAGGGGGGACGGAGAAGGCUAUGUUAGCCGGGCGACGGUUGUCCCGGUUUAAGCAUGUAGGCUGAUUAUCCAGGCAAAUCCGGAUAAUCAAGGCUGAGGUGUGAUGACGAGGCACUACGGUGCUGAAGUAACAAAUGCCCUGCUUCCAGGAAAAGCCUCUAAGCAUCAGGUAACAUCAAAUCGUACCCCAAACCGACACAGGUGGUCAGGUAGAGAAUACCAAGGCGCUUGAGAGAACUCGGGUGAAGGAACUAGGCAAAAUGGUGCCGUAACUUCGGGAGAAGGCACGCUGGUGUGUAGGUGAAGCCCCUGCGGGUGGAGCUGAGACCAGUCGAAGAUACCAGCUGGCUGCAACUGUUUAUUAAAAACACAGCACUGUGCAAACACGAAAGUGGACGUAUACGGUGUGACGCCUGCCCGGUGCCGGAAGGUUAAUUGAUGGGGUUAUCCGUAAGGAGAAGCUCUUGAUCGAAGCCCCGGUAAACGGCGGCCGUAACUAUAACGGUCCUAAGGUAGCGAAAUUCCUUGUCGGGUAAGUUCCGACCUGCACGAAUGGCGUAAUGAUGGCCAGGCUGUCUCCACCCGAGACUCAGUGAAAUUGAACUCGCUGUGAAGAUGCAGUGUACCCGCGGCAAGACGGAAAGACCCCGUGAACCUUUACUAUAGCUUGACACUGAACAUUGAGCCUUGAUGUGUAGGAUAGGUGGGAGGCUUUGAAGCGUGGACGCCAGUCUGCGUGGAGCCAACCUUGAAAUACCACCCUUUAAUGUUUGAUGUUCUAACGUUGGCCCCUGACCGGGGUUGCGGACAGUGUCUGGUGGGUAGUUUGACUGGGGCGGUCUCCUCCCAAAGCGUAACGGAGGAGCACGAAGGUUAGCUAAUCCUGGUCGGACAUCAGGAGGUUAGUGCAAUGGCAUAAGCUAGCUUGACUGCGAGCGUGACGGCGCGAGCAGGUGCGAAAGCAGGUCAUAGUGAUCCGGUGGUUCUGAAUGGAAGGGCCAUCGCUCAACGGAUAAAAGGUACUCCGGGGAUAACAGGCUGAUACCGCCCAAGAGUUCAUAUCGACGGCGGUGUUUGGCACCUCGAUGUCGGCUCAUCACAUCCUGGGGCUGAAGUAGGUCCCAAGGGUAUGGCUGUUCGCCAUUUAAAGUGGUACGCGAGCUGGGUUUAGAACGUCGUGAGACAGUUCGGUCCCUAUCUGCCGUGGGCGCUGGAGAAUUGAGGGGGGCUGCUCCUAGUACGAGAGGACCGGAGUGGACGCAUCACUGGUGUUCGGGUUGUCAUGCCAAUGGCACUGCCCGGUAGCUAAAUGCGGAAGAGAUAAGUGCUGAAAGCAUCUAAGCACGAAACUUGCCCCGAGAUGAGUUCUCCCUGAGACUUUAAGUCUCCUGAAGGAACGUUAAAGACGAUGACGUUGAUAGGCCGGGUGUGUAAGCGCAGCGAUGCGUUGAGCUAACCGGUACUAAUGAACCGUGAGGCUUAACCUUACAACGCCGAAG
rnacentral:rRNA from 1 species